rnacentral:lncRNA from 1 species
UCCUGAAUCUGCUGAUUGUUGGCAUAUCAUCAGUUGAUUGCGUUCAGGUUUUCUCCCUCCAUGGCUUGGUAAGAUCCCCUUUCAACUUGCUUCUUUGUUUCAAGUUCUCCCCUUUCAACAUGCUGCUUUGUUCAUGUUCUUCACUUGCUGCAAAACAAUAAUCAAUCACCAGCAAUGAUUAGGACUUUAAAGGAACGCCAAGAAUUCGGAGAGACUUUUACAUGAAACUUGAUAUCUAAAAAUGUUGGCAAAGCAAUGAAUACUAAAAUGAGUAUGUUCUUUUACUUGUCUUUAUCAGAUCCCACAUCUUGCGAGCUCGCUGAUGCCUAUCUGCGAGGUUUUCGGAUCUUGUGUGCCUGAUGUGUCAUGGAAGCUUCCCAAUGGUGAUGAAAUCUCUGCCCAUGCUGUAUUUUCAAAUGCAUUUGCUGUUCUUUUGAAGCUAUGGCGGUUUAACCACCCCCCUCUCGAGUAUGGUGUUGGAGAUGUCCCAACUGUCGGAUCUCAGUUAACUCCCGAAUACCUUCUGCUAGUAAGAAACUCCUACCUACCCUCAUCUGGAAUAGUUCUCAAGGAUCAAAUCAAGAGAAGACUUUCAGAAGUUGCAACUUCAUCAUCUCCACACCCUGUCUUUCUGGAUUCAUUCCCAAGACUCAAAUGCUGGUAUCGGCAACAUCAGAAAUGCAUAGCGUCGACCCUCUCUGGUCUUGUUCAUGGAACUCCAGUUCAUCAGACUGUGAACUUGCUACUUACUAUGAUGUUCAGAAAGAUGAAUAGAGGAAGUCAAUCAGUAACUACUAUUACCUCUGGAAGCAGUAGUUCAUCCGGACCAGGAAAUGAGGAUUCUUCUCUAAGACCUAAAUUACCUGCCUGGGAGAUUUUAGAAGCUGUUCCUUUUGUGGUUGAUGCUGCUUUAACAGCUUGUGCUCAUGGAAGGCUUUGUCCUCGUGAGCUCGCCACAGGUUAGUCUAGUAUGUUAUGAUAUGGGGAAGUUUCAUGGUUUUCUUGUGGAUUGGUAAUCAAUUGAAAUGUUUUUGAAUUUCCCAGGGCUGAAAGAUUUAGCAGAUUUUCUCCCUGCAUCUUUGGCAACCAUUGUUAGUUACUUCUCAGCUGAAGUAAGUAGAGGAGUCUGGAAACCAGCAUUUAUGAAUGGCACAGACUGGCCAAGUCCUGCAGUGAAUUUGUCGAACGUUGAGGACAAGAUCAAGAAAAUCUUAGCAGCUACUGGUGUCGAUAUACCUAGUUUGGCAGCAGGUUUGUCUUUUUUACUUCCGACGUGGAAUCUUUAACUAUUCUCCUUCAGAUGCAUAAGUAUUUGCACUAAAGAUUUAUCAUUCUUGCAGGGGGGAGCUCACCUGCCACACUUCCACUGCCUCUGGCUGCUUUUGUCAGUCUCACAAUCACCUAUAAAAUCGACAAAACCUCAGAGAGAUUCCUCAAUUUGGCUGGUCCAGCGCUGGAAUCUCUUGCAGCAGGUUGCCCUUGGCCUUGCAUGCCGAUUGUGGCUUCCUUAUGGACCCUGAAAGCAAAACGAUGGUUCGAUUUCCUCGUUUUUUCUGCAUCACGCACGGUCUUUCUCCACAACAAUGAUGCAGUAUUUCAGCUCCUCAAAAGCUGCUUUACUGCUACACUCGGUGGUGCAGCCAUCUCAAGCAAUGGUGGGGUGGGAGCACUUCUCGGUCAUGGCUUUGGUUCACAUUUCUGCGGUGGGAUAUCUCCUGUAGCUCCGGGAAUCCUAUACUUGAGAGUCUACCAGUCCAUCAGAGACAUUGAGAUCAUCACAGAAGAGAUAAUUUCUCUCAUGAUGCACUCCGUGACACAAAUUGCGUGCACGGGGCUUCCUAAAGAGAGAUUAGGGAGGCUGAAGAGGACAAAGAAUGGACUUGAGUGUGGCCAAGUUUCGCUUUCUGCAGCAAUGACGAGGGUGAAGCUUGCAGCUUCACUUGGUGCUUCUCUAGUUUGCUUAUCUGGAGGAUUAGGCUUGGUUCAGUUGCUGUUCCAAGAAACAUUGCCCUCUUGGUUUAUAUCUAGCCAUCACUCCGAGCAGGAAGAAGAUGGCUGCCUCGGAGGGAUGGUUGCCAUGCUAAGAGGGUAUGCCUUGGCAUAUUUUGCAGUUCUUUGUGGAGCUUUUGCUUGGGGAAUUGACAAUUCGUCAUCCGCUUCCAGGAGGCGUCCGAAAGUCGUGAGAGCUCACAUGGAGUUCCUGGCUAGUGCUCUAGAUGGCAAAAUCUCACUUGGUUGCGACAGUGCAACUUGGAAAUCCUACGUGUCGGGAUUCAUUAGCCUAAUGGUGGGUUGUACACCUCCAUGGGUUCUCGAGCUCGAAGCAGAUGUUUUGAAGAGACUAAGUAAAGGGUUGAGACAGUGGAACGAGGAGGAAUUGGCAUUGGCUUUGCUAGGCAUUGGUGGGGUGGAAACCAUGGGUGCAGCUGCUGAAUUGAUAAUUGAAUUGCAUUGAGUUUUACAAUUCUUUCUCUCCAUUUUUGUCUCGGAAUCUUCAUACUAGUAGUCUCUUCUUUAGCAUGUUGUCUGCAGAAUCGUAUAGGAAUGCCUUGUAACUUGUGUAGCAUAUUUAACAUACUUUACAGUGAACGAUGCUGUCCAGUAAUAACAGGGGACUCUGUACAGUCGGACUUUGAAGGUUUGUUCAGAUUUAAAUCCAAGCGACUCUGAUGGAAUCGUUUAAGUGUCUCUGCAUCCAAACAAGAUGAAUCUAUGAACCACUGGACUACCACGGAGUAAUCCGUCUCCAAUAACUAAAAAAUAUGUGUAUAUAAAUGCAGGGAGCAAAGUACAAAGACAGCAGAAGAAUAAGAGGAAGUUUGUUUAAAGAUUUAACGAGAUUUAGGGAGUGAUUUUAUGGUCCUGGAUGAUUUGAUCGAAAUAUCACAUUUGAUUACGAAAAUAAAAUGAGAUUUGGGAGUGAUUUAGAUAGGGUGGACAACGCAUCCGCCAGUUACAAAGAAGCUUAAGAUGCACAAAAGUCCAACCCGCCCACCUUCCAGGGAGCAGCUGAAACCGAACUUUCAAAUAGAAGCUGCCUCAUCAGAGAGGUAAGAAUCUGUCUUAAUUCGGGGCUGAUUCGGAAGGAGCAAAAAAGGGGGUAAAAGAAAUAAACUGAAAAACAAAGGAAAUCAGGCUAAUCUCAAAUUGAACUCUGCUUCAUUUGGUCGGGCACUGCAAAAGUACCGGACAUCAGUUCUGAUCUUUGUAAUAACUUCUUGGUGUGUCUGUGGGGGUUUCUCAAAGUAUUUGCAGCAGCGCUCUCGCCAUAUCUCACUAAUGGCAGCACACCACCAGAGGCGAUGCAUACGGCGGCUGCGAUCCCUAGCGCUGACAGUCAUGAGCAUGGCAUUCCAAUUCCCAACGUUGGGGAGACAAGGGUCAAUGUCAGAUAGAACAUAAGCAGCAAAGGGACAUUGAACAAAUAAAUGCUCUCUGAUUCAUGAGAGGCAGCAGGGGUCAAUCCCCGGGUUCCACUGAAUAAUUUUAUCCCGAGUCGGGAUGUAGUUCCGAAUGAUUGUCCACGUGAUGAAGUUGUUCUUUGGAAUUCGGUAAGCUGACCAAAGAAGAGAAUGCCAACCAACCACAUGAUUUCGAUAUCGUAUCGAAUUCCAGACUCUGCUAACCUUGAAACGCUGCAUGGUGAUGACAAAAGGUAGGGGAAAUUGGAUCCCCUUGUCUCACACCUCUCUUAGCAGGGAAGUAUCCCAAAAGUGAACCAUUAAGGUUAACCGAGAAACAGAUAGUAUCCAGGAAGCUACGGAUCUGAUUGAUGUAAAGAGAGGGGAAUUGCAUAGAAUGGAGAUCGUCAAGAAGGAACGGCCAUUCAACGGAGUCAAAGGCCUUUUGAAGAUCAAUUUUCAUCGCACAGCGGGGGAAAUAACAGUUCGAUUGUAUUUGCUAAGAAGCUCAUGAGCAAGCACAAUGUUGUCGAUGAUGAUUCUGCCCUUCACAAAGGUAGUCUGAGAAGGUUUGAUAAGGGUAGGCAAGACGUUACCCAAUCUAGUGCCAAGACUUUGGAGAUUGCCUUAUAAAUUGUAUUACAACAAGUGGUGGGCAUGUAGUCUUUCAUGCUAGUGGCGUUUAACUUCUUUGGGACCAAAGUGAGGAUCAUGGAGUUGACUGCCGAAGGAAGGAAUCUCGUUUCAAAUAAACUUUCCAUAGCAAGCAAUACAUCCUCCCCUUUCAUAUCCCAAUAUGAUUUAUAAAAAGCAGUAGUGUAACCAUCCGAUCUAGGGGCCUUGUCUUCGUUAAUGCUAAAGAGCGCUGCUUUCAUCUCAUUCCUUGUAACCCGAGCCUCAAGCAUAACUUGAUCAUCCUCCGUCACCACAGAAGAGACAAGGAAGGUAAGGUCAGAAUAGCUGGAAUAAGAAGAGGAUCCAAGGAGUUCUAUGUAGUAGGCAACUGCAAUCGCUGCUAUAGUAUCAAUAUCUUACACUCUCUCACCAUUACAGUUUUCCAGUUGCCUAAUAUUGUUUCGCCCUUGUCGAGUGGCAACGUAUCAAGCAAAGAACGUUGUAUUGUUGUCUCCAAGCUUCACCCAUGAGACUCGAGAUUUUUGUCGAAUAAGACCUUCUUUUCCCUUCUUGAAAGCUGCAAGAUAAUGAAAGCAAUUUUUCAUCCCAACAACAGAAGCAGCAUUGGGAGAGGACAAGACCUUAUACUUCCAAACACUCAGCUCAUUCGCUUUUUUCACAACCUUAUCUUUGAUAUUAGAGAAUUCUUCCAAAUUCAAACAUUUAAGGCGGAGUUUCAGACGCUUCAGUUUAGUAGUAAGCCGGAAGAAUAAGGAUCCAGUAACACGCGCAGACCACACCUCAUGAACCAAAUCAUGGUAAGAAGGGUGUUCAAUCUAGCUCUUAAAGAAUUAAAGGGUAGGUGGUCAGAUUCAGAGCAGUCGCAAUCAUCAGGACGCAAUGAUCCAAUCUUGGCAAGGUAAGACCCGAACAAUACUCCCACCAAAGGUGGAAAACCAAUUCUGGUUUACCAGGACACGAUCAAGCUUGCGAGAGAUAGGGGAGUCUUCCUUGUUGUUGGUACAGGUAAAGUGAGGGUCGAGAGAAGGGUGCUCAAUCAGCAAGGUAACUGUCACACAUUGUUGAAAGUCAAUCAUUCCAGAGGUGGAAACAAUUUGGUUUGAAGCAUCAACAGUCUCCAAAAUUGUUUUGAAAUCACCAGCGACCAACCAUAGGGAGGAAGUAACCGUAAUAGUUGAAAGAUCAGAGAAUAAAUGGGCAUGCUUGGAAGCAGAAUUGUCAGCAUAGACAAAAGUGCAAUAGUAAGGAUGAGGUAGGUCAACGUAGAAGUGAAUAAACUGGGAUGAUUUUUGCAAAACCGUGAUGGGGACAUCCCGUUUACAGAGAAGUCAGAUUUUUUCCAGAGUUUCAUCAUAGAAAAAGUCCCCCAACCAACCAAGAAAACGAGCAGCAAACAGAGAAGGAGCCUUAUCCCUCCGAACUCGAGGUUCAAGGAGAGCAACAAUAUCAAUUUUAUUCUGAGCUAUAUAAGAAAAUAGAGUAUCUAUCUUACUACGUUUAUUGAAACCCCUAAUAUUCCAAAUCCAGUAUCUAAUCAUUUCCUUGCAGAAUUGCGGAACUUAGCCUUGUCCUGCUUAGGAAGAACCCUUUUACCCUGUUGUAUAUAGUCAUUAAGGUUGGCUUUUGGCGAGGAGAGUUUAGCAAUAUUCACAUCUAUAUUUUCUUCAUCAGACAAAUAGUUUUCAUCUUCCGUUUCAACCAGAACUUCAUAUCUGUUUUGAGUGCUCUAAAUACCAUAGUUAGGGCUCAGGACGGGUCGAACCUCCGCUUCAGAAGAAGGUUCAGUCACCUCCUAUUGACCAGGUGCAUCCUCCACUCCCUGAGGAGUCUCAGAAGCAUUGCCUAGUCCCCCUCCGUCCUCUACAGAAGGAGUAGUUUCAACUGCCACCGCCUCCUCUCCCUCAGGAGUCUUAGCGGUAGUAACUACCAUAGGCUCCGACUAUACUGUAACUUGAGAACAGGGUUUUGGUAUCAAUCUAUUUUCAGCCACACCAUGUCUAUAAACUUUACUAUUCAUAAGAUCGACCUGAAGUCGAUAGACAGCUCCCGUAUCUAAGAGGACACUAAGCUCCGUUUUAUCCAGGUUAGGGGAAUCUCCAAGAACACACAUCUUAACAUCAAGACCGUCUCGAACAAACUUGCCAAUCGGCUUUCCAAAGUGAGUUGCCAGCCAGCUACUCCCCUUGAGUGUGAGGAGCUGGGAGGAACCUUCCUAAAAGUAAUCCAAACGGGCUUAACCGAAGCAGCAAAGGGGAUAUGAGUAAUACAUGCCUGCCAUCUGGGAACCAUUAUCGGGGCAUGGUGAACAUGCCAAGAGCGAGCGAGCACCCAGUCGCAGGAAGCGGGAGAGGGAAGCUCGAAGAGGAAAAAGCAUUCCUCAAGCUGGAAACCCACGAUCGGUUCACCUUCAGUCCACAAUCGGUUAACCAUAGAUGCUAGGACACAUACAAGAGGAGGUUUUCCGACGAACUGUGCUAUAAUCGUCGAUUCCAGGCGCUUCAAUCCAAGAUCGAUCACCUCACGCGGGAUGUGAAAGACUCCGUCGUCAACCAUCGAUGUAAGCGAUUUCUCAACAAAUUGCAGAUUCGUAGCCGGAUUUACCACCACCGAGGCCCAUGAUUGCCGCGCGGGGGGGGGGGGGGGGGGGGGGGGGGGGGGGGGGGCCAGAGCGAAAAUGGCGAGCACUGCAGAAAAAGAAUUACAGAGAAAAACAUGCACUCAUCACAUUAUUUUUCAGAAGUAUUAUUAUUAUUUCCUC